rnacentral:rRNA from 1 species
AUCUUCCGCAAUGGACGAAAGUCUGACGGAGCGACGCCGCGUGGUGGAUGAAGUCCCUCGGGACGUAAACACCUUUUAUGAGGGAGGAAGUUUAUUGACGUUACCUCAUGAAUAAGGGGCUCCCAACUCUGUGCCAGCAGGAGCGGUAAUACAGAGGCCCCAAGCAUUAUCCGGAUUUACUGGGCGUAAAGGGUGCGUAGGCGGUUAUAUUAGUCGGGUGUUAAAUCCCAGGGCCCAACCCUGGAAUCGCAUCCGAAACGGUAUAACUAGAAUCAGUCAGAGGCAAGCAGAACUCUCGGUGUAGGGGUGAAAUCCGUUGAUAUCGAGGGGAAUACCAAAUGCGAAGGCAGCUUGCUGGGACUUGAUUGACGCUGAGGCACGAAAGCGUGGGUAGCGAAGCGGAUUAGAUACCCGCGUAGUCCACGCCCUAAACGCUGUCUGUUGGCUAUAGGGAGUAUCGACCCUCUCUGUGGCGAAGUUAACACGUUAAACAGACCGCCUGGGUAGUACGAUCGCAAGAUUAAAACUCAAAGGAAUAGACGGGGGCUCGCACAAGCGGUGGAUCAUGUGGCUUAAUUCGUAGCUAAGCGAAAAACCUUACCAAGGCUAGAAACUAUACUGCACGCUCCGGGAAACCGGAGAAGCCUUCGAGGGUGUAUAGCAGGUGAUGCAUGGCCGUCGUCAGUUCGUGGCUUGAGCUGUUCCCUUAAGUGGGGAAACGAACGCAACCCUCGUUGCCUGUUACAAGUGUCAGGCGAGACUGCUCCCUCACGGGAGAGGAAGGUGAGGAUGACGCCAGGUCAGCAUGUCCCUUGAUGCCUUGGGCUGCACACGUGAUACAAUGGGUGGUACAAUGGGACGCAAUACCGCAAGGUGGAGCAAAUCCCCAAAACCAUCCUCAAUUCGGAUUGGGGUCUGCAACUCGACCCCAUGAAGCUGGAAUCGCUAGUAAUCGUGAAUCAGCAUCGUCACGGUGAAUACGUUCCCGAGCCUUGUACUCACCGCCCGUCAACUCAAGGGAGUCGGGAGUGCCCGAAGUGCCAGUUUAUCUGGUCCUACGGUAAGCUCGAUGACAGGGAGUAAGUCGUAACAAGGCACGGCUAGCGGAAGCUGGUCGUG